ensembl:lncRNA
CAUUAGUUUGUAGGUAGUUAUUUUGUUCUUAUAUAUCCUUGUGCAGGCUGUAUUGUCUCUAGUGCUCUCACUCACUUCCUUCUCUGGCUGUGUUCCUCUUCUUGCUUGUUGUCCGUGUGUGUUUGUUGUCUUCAGGACAGUUUGGCCAACUGUCAGUUGGUCAGUUGGCUGGACUUUUCUGAUGGAUUCCUCUGUUCAGGUGGAUUUCUUCAAGUUUUCUUUGGUGUUUCCUUUUCAGUUUUUCUUCUUUCUGGGAGGUAAUUCCUCUAAAAGUGUUUCCUCUUCAAAAUUUGAUGCAAAAUUAAAGGUUUGUCUCAUUUCAAGACAAAAUUAAGAGAUAAUCUUCAGGAGCUCAAUCUCUCUCUCUCUCUCUCUCUCUCUCUCUCUCUCUCUCUCUAUAUAUAUAUAUAUAUAUAUAUAUAUAUAUAUAUAUAUAUAUGUAUAUGUAUAUAUAUAUAUCUAUCUUUCUCUCUCUCUCUCUCUCUCUCUAUAUAUAUAUAUAUAUAUAUAUAUAUAUAUAUAUAUAUAUAUAUAUAUAUAUAUAUAUAUAUAUAUAUAUAUAUAUAUAUAUAUAUAUAUAUUAUAUAUAUAUAUAUAUAUAUAUAUAUAUAUAUAUAUAGAGAGAGAGAGAGAGAGAGAGAGAGAGAGAAAAAUAUCUCUCCCUCUCUCUCUCUGAGUAGAUGCAGUGAGCGUGUUGAGCGGUGUGUCGCGGUGCCACUGGGACAGGGUUGUGUUGUUGCUGUGUUAUGUUUUCUCCUCUCCGUUUUCGUCUUCUCCCUCACCUGCCCUCUCCUUGUGGGUGUGGCCAAGGGCGUGGAGACUAUAGCGGAGUAGCGCACCGGCCUCUCAUCAUCUCAUCACCUGCGGUCUACAUACCCCGGUCUCUCCGCUACUCGGUGCCAGAUUAUUCCGGAACCAACGAGGAUUUCUGCACCGCUCCGCCCUGUCGCCUGCCCACCUGCUCGCCUGCCUGCUCUCCGGAUCCGUCUACCCGCCUGCCGGACCAGCCGAGCCCUGGACAGUCCGCCUGCUGGAUCCGGGCGACCCAGAUCAUACACCUGCCUUCCCCCCCACUGAGAUAAUAGACAAUAAACUCUGUUUCACCUCGCAGCUCUGCCUCCAGUCUCUGCUUCUGGGUUCCCACAAUCUGCCACCGUAACACGGUGGAUGUGGGCGAUUUUCGCGAACUAAGUACCUAUAUAUAUUUUUUUUCUGUUUGAUGUUUGUAAACCAGGUUGUUUGUAGGUUUACAGUGUAGAGUUUUUUUUUUUCGUUUGUGUGUGGUUUUGCGUUUGUGCAAUUGACCAGCGCUUUGCUGGUCGACAUGCAAAACGCCCCUGCGGUCACGCCAGCCGUCUCUUGUUUUCACGUAGUCAAGCCAGCCGCUCCAACAUUUUAAGUGCGCCCUUAUUACGAACUUUAUGGCAAACGGGAAACAGAAGCAAGUGGGAAAGUAAGCGCUAACUUACGAGACCGUGUGGGAACUUCCGGUUCACAAAAUAAAACCUUUGUGUUGAAUGUAUUGAGAUUUUGUUGUGUAAAAUAUGAGAACUACAAUAAAAAUUAAUGAGAAUUAUGGUGGCAAGUUAAAUGCAAUAAAGCAGGUGCGCAUCAUCCAGAAAGCCCAAAUCACCUGUCCUACACUGAUUCUGAGCCACUAGGUCACAUGACCGGGGAGUUAUUGAGCUCUGAAGCUCAUAUUUACAUUCUCACAGGGAUUACAAAUUCAUAAAAAAUAUUAAGUGUGUUCAAAUGAAAUAAAAAAAGUUGUGCCUCAUAGAGCAGGCUUAGAUCUACUGUCCUACAUUGAUUCUGAGCCACUAGGUCACAUGACCGGGGAGUUAUUGAGCUCUGAUGCUCAUAUUUACAUUCUCA